AGUAAUGUAUGGGGAUCUGCCUGAUGGCGGGGGAUAACCACUGGAAACGGUAGCUAAUACCGCAUAAUGUCUACGGACCAAAGCGGGGGACCUCCGGGCCUCGCGCCAUCAGAUGAACCCAUAUGGGAUUAGCUAGUAGGUGAGGUAACGGCUUACCUAGGCGACGAUCCCUAGCUGGUCUGAGAGGAUGAUCAGCCACACUGGGACUGAGACACGGCCCAG
rnacentral:rRNA from 1 species